rnacentral:rRNA from 1 species
UACAGAGGGUGCGAGCGUUGUUCGGAAUUACUGGGCGUAAAGCGCGCGCAGGCGGCUCUUUAAGUCCGACGGUGAAAUGCCGGGGCUCAACCCCGUGCCCGCCGCGGAUACUGGGGAGCUGGAGACGAGUAGAGGCAAGCGGAAUUCCGGGUGUAGCGGUGGAAUGCGUAGAGAUCCGGAAGAACACCGGAGGCGAAGGCGGCCUUGCGUGGGCUCGGUCGUGACGGCUGAG